rnacentral:misc_RNA from 1 species
GAUGAAGACGUAGUGAAAUGCGAUAAGUAAUGUGAAUUGCAGAAUUCAGUGAAUCAUCGAAUCUUUGAACGCACAUUGCGCCCGCCAGUAUUCUGGCGGGCAUGCCUGUUCGAGCGUCAUUACAACCCUCAGGCCCCCGGGCCUGGCGUUGGGGAUCGGCGGAAGCCCCCUGCGGGCACAACGCCGUCCCCCAAAUACAGUGGCGGUCCCGCCGCAGCUUCCAUUGCGUAGUAGCUAACACCUCGCAACUGGAGAGCGGCGCGGCCACGCCGUAAAACACCCAACUUCUGAAUGUUGACCUCGAAUCAGGUAGGAAUACCCGCUGAACUUAAGCAUAUCAAUAAGCGGAGGA